CCUACGGGAGGCAGCAGUGGGGAAUAUUGGACAAUGGGGGGAACCCUGAUCCAGCCAUGCCGCGUGUGUGAAGAAGGCCCUCGGGUUGUAAAGCACUUUCAGUGAGGAAGAACGCCUGGUGGUUAAUACCCAUCAGGAAAGACAUCACUCACAGAAGAAGCACCGGCUAACUCCGUGCCAGCAGCCGCGGUAAUACGGAGGGUGCGAGCGUUAAUCGGAAUUACUGGGCGUAAAGCGCGCGUAGGUGGCUUGAUAAGCCGGUUGUGAAAGCCCCGGGCUCAACCUGGGAACGGCAUCCGGAACUGUCAAGCUAGAGUACAGGAGAGGAAGGUAGAAUUCCCGGUGUAGCGGUGAAAUGCGUAGAGAUCGGGAGGAAUACCAGUGGCGAAGGCGGCCUUCUGGACUGAAACUGACACUGAGGUGCGAAAGCGUGGGUAGCAAACAGGAUUAGAUACCCUAGUAGUC
rnacentral:rRNA from 1 species